rnacentral:lncRNA from 10 species
AAUAAAUGGAUCAAUCAGUUUAAAAACUUAGAACAGUGCGUGGCAAAUAGUGCUCAAGAAGAGUAGGCUUGUGAAACAUUCACAUGCAUUGUUUUAACAAACAAUGCUUCCCCAGACCUCCCCACAGAGUUGACGCUCUGGAAAGAAAAGCCAGGCUUUUCUCUGAGGUUUUGCAUCUCCUUGGCCAAUGUGCUCAUGCCAGAGAAGAGCAGUGCAUGGCCAGUUUGAGGAGCACGGCCAUGUGACCUUGGACAGCCCCUGCCUCUCUCUAGGACUCACUCCCGGUCCCUAACCUCAGCUCUCUGAUCUGUACCACAAGGAGCUGCCACUAACACCUGUGUCAGAACUACUGUAAGGACCCUUUCCUCCUGCGAGAGGAGAACAGUGCUAAACCUGUCUGAACGUGAUAGACAUGCUACAAACUGCCAACCCUUUAGGCUAUAAACUGCUCACACAUGGGCCAAGUGUCACUCUCA